rnacentral:rRNA from 1 species
CUCGUAGGCGGUUUGUCAAGUUAGGUGUGAAAUCCCCGGGCUUAACCCGGGACGUGCACUUAAAACUGGCAGGCUAGAGUCUGGGAGGGGAUAGCGGAAUUCCGGGUGUAGAGGUGAAAUUCGUAGAUAUCCGGAGGAACACCUGAGGCGAAGGCGGCUAUCUGGACCAGUACUGACGCUGAGGAGCGAAAGCGUGGGGAGCAAACA